CAGAUAGACAAGUACCGUGAGGGAAAGUUGCAAAGCACUUUGAAGAGAGAGUUAAAGAGGACGUGAAACCGAUGAGGUGGAAACGGAUAGAGCCAGCGUAUCUGGCCUGUAUUCAACCGCAUUGUUGUGAGCAGUUGGGCGCUGCAUCUCCAGAUUGGGACAGUCCUGGAUUGCAAGCCGCAAUGUUGUGCAUUUUUAGGUCGAGUGCGCCGAGACUUUCGAGAAGGCGAUAUGAGCUCAAUUUUGAGGCCAGCUUGCUGGUACCCGGAUUGGAGGAAUGUUGUUCGUUUUGGAUGUGAAUGGGGGAAAGGUUUUCGGGCUCGUAUGGGUUCGAAUUGGUGUGGGGUGGCAGUUGCAUGCAACAUGUGCCUUCUGCCAAUUCGGUCCUGUGCGAGCUCACAAUCCCACUCUCGGCGUAAAAGUUGGUCAUCUAUCCGACCCGUCUUGAAACACGGACCAAAGAGUUUAUCGUGUGCGCAAGUCAUUGGGUGUUGAAAACUCAAAGGCGCAAUGAAAGUAAAGUAUCCGCAAGGAUACGACGUGUGAUCUGAGCAAUCACGAUUGCCUGGAGCAACAUGGCCCCAUUCUGGACGCUUGCGGCGGGGUGGAGGAAGAGCGUACGCGGUGAGACCCGAAAGAUGGUGAACUAUUCCUGAGCAGGAUGAAGCCAGAGGAAACUCUGGUGGAAGUCCGAAGCGAUUCUGACGUGCAAAUCGAUCGUCUGACUUGGGUAUAGGGGCGAAAGACUAAUCGAACCAUCUAGUAGCUGGUUCCUUCCGAU
rnacentral:rRNA from 1 species